UACAGAGGUCUCAAGCGUUGUUCGGAUUCAUUGGGCGUAAAGGGUGUGUAGGUGGCGCGCUAAGUCGGGUGUGAAAUUUCGGAGCUUAACUCCGAAACUGCAUUCGAUACUGGCGUGCUUGAGGACUGGAGAGGAGACUGGAAUUUACGGUGUAGCGGUGAAAUGCGUAGAUAUCGUAAGGAAGACCAGUGGCGAAGGCGGGUCGUCUGGACAGUUCCUGACGCUGAGGCACGAAGGUCAGGGGAGCAAACGGG
rnacentral:rRNA from 1 species